rnacentral:rRNA from 1 species
ACGUAGGCAGCGAGCGUUGUUCGGAGUUACUGGGCGUAAAGAGUAUGUAGGCGGUUAUUCAAGUCUAGUGUGAAAUCUCCCGGCUUAACUGGGAGGGUGCGCUGGAUACUGGAUGGCUUGAGCAUGGGAGAGGAAAGCGGAAUUUCUGGUGUAGCGGUGAAAUGCGUAGAUAUCAGAAGGAACACCUGCGGUGAAGACAGCUUUCUGGACCAUAGCUGACGCUGAGAUACGAAAGCGUGGGUAGCAAACAGGAUUAGAUACCCUGGUAGUCCACGCCCUAAACGAUGCACACUUGGUGUGAGCCAUUCAUUUGGUUUGUGCCGGAGCUAACGCGUUAAGUGUGCCGCCUGGGGAGUACGGUCGCAAGGCUG